GGAAGGAUGGCCGAGCGGUUUAAGGUGUAGCACUGGAAAUGCUAUGUAAGCUUACUGUUUACCGAGGGUUCGAAUCCCUCUCUUUCCG
rnacentral:tRNA from 1 species